rnacentral:rRNA from 1 species
UACAGAGGUCUCAAGCGUUGUUCGGAAUUACUGGGCGUAAAGGGCUCGUAGGCGGCCAACUAAGUCAUACGUGAAAUCCCUCAGCUUAACUGGGGAACUGCGUGUGAUACUGGAUGGCUUGGAUUUGGGAGAGGGAUGCGGAAUUCCAGGUGUAGCGGUGAAAUGCGUAGAUAUCUGGAGGAACACCGGUGGCGAAGGCGGCAUCCUGGACCAAUAUUGACGCUGAGGAGCGAAAGCUAGGGGAGCAAACGGG